AGUGAACGCUGGCGGUAGGCCUAACACAUGCAAGUCGAACGGCAGCACAGUAAGAGCUUGCUCUUACGGGUGGCGAGUGGCGGACGGGUGAGGAAUACAUCGGAAUCUACUUUUUCGUGGGGGAUAACGUAGGGAAACUUACGCUAAUACCGCAUACGACCUACGGGUGAAAGCAGGGGAUCUUCGGACCUUGCGCGAUUGAAUGAGCCGAUGUCGGAUUAGCUAGUUGGCGGGGUAAAGGCCCACCAAGGCGACGAUCCGUAGCUGGUCUGAGAGGAUGAUCAGCCACACUGGAGCUGAGACACGGUCCAGGCUCCUACGGGAGGCAGCAGUGGGGAAUAUUGGACAAUGGGCGCAAGCCUGAUCCAGCCAUACCGCGUGGGUGAAGAAGGCCUUCGGGUUGUAAAGCCCUUUUGUUGGGGAAGAAAAGCAGCAGGUUAAUACCCCGCUGUUCUGACGGUACCCAAAGAAUAAGCACCGGCUAACUUCGUG
rnacentral:rRNA from 1 species